rnacentral:rRNA from 2 species
GGGGCCAAUUCUAAGGGAAGAAUUUGGCNGGGNUGGACCAAAACCCGGGAANGGAAAGGUUGGGGGGAUGACGGUCAAGUUCAUUCAUGGCCCCCUUACGGGCCUUGGGGCAACACAACGUGGCUACAAUGGUUUCGNUAACAGAGGGGNUGCCAAGCCGGCGAGGUGGAGCUAAUCCCAUAAAACCGAUCGUAAGUCCGGAUCGCAGUCUGCAACUCGACUGCGUGAAGUCGGAAUCGCUAGUAAUCGCGAAUCAGAAUGUCGCGGUGAAUACGUUCCCGGGCCUUGUACACACCGCCCCUGAAUCACUAGUGAAUUUCGCGG